rnacentral:rRNA from 1 species
UACGUACCGUCCAAACGUUAUUCGGAAUUACUGGGCUUAAAGGGUUUGUAGGCGGCGCUGCUAGUCGGGUGUGAAAUCCCAGGGCUCAACCCUGGAACUGCGCCCGAUACUGCAGUGCUUGAGGGAGAUAGAGGUAAGCGGAACUGAUGGUGGAGCGGUGAAAUGCGUUGAUAUCAUCAGGAACACCGGUGGCGAAAGCGGCUUACUGGGUCUCUUCUGACGCUGAGAAACGAAAGCUAGGGGAGCGAAGGGG